UAGAAAGUAGUAAAAUGGGAUUACAGGGGGUUUUGAUCCCCCAAAUAUAGGUUCAAUUCCUAUUUUUCUAAAGGAA
rnacentral:tRNA from 1 species